AUACGGAGGGUCCAAGCGUUAUCCGGAUUCAUUGGGUUUAAAGGGUCCGCAGGCGGGAAAAUAAGUCAGUGGUGAAAGCCUACAGCUCAACUGUAGAACUGCCAUUGAUACUGUUUUUCUUGAGUAUAGAUGAAGUGGGCGGAAUAUAUCAUGUAGCGGUGAAAUGCAUAGAUAUGAUAUAGAACACCGAUUGCGAAGGCAGCUCACUAAACUAUUACUGACGCUCAGGGACGAAAGCGUGGGGAGCGAACAGGAUUAGAUACCCCGGUAGUCC
rnacentral:rRNA from 1 species